CGGUAAUACGUAGUGGUGCGAGCGUUGUCCGGAAUUACUGGGCGUAAAGGGCUCGUAGGUGGUUUGUCGCGUCGUCUGUGAAAUUCCGGGGCUUAACUCCGGGCGUGCAGGCGAUACGGGCAUAACUUGAGUACUGUAGGGGUAACUGGAAUUCCUGGUGUAGCGGUGAAAUGCGCAGAUAUCAGGAGGAACACCGAUGGCGAAGGCAGGUUACUGGGCAGUUACUGACGCUGAGGAGCGAAAGCAUGGGUAGCGAACAGGAUUAGAUACCCUGGUAGUCCAUGCCGUAAACGGUGGGCGCUAGGUGUGAGGGUCUUUUCACGACUUUCGUGCCGUAGCUAACGCAUUAAGCGCCCCGCCUGGGGAGUACGGCCGCAAGGCUAAAACUCAAAGGAAUUGACGGGGGCCCGCACAAGCGGCGGAGCAUGUGGAUUAAUUCGAUGCAACGCGAAGAACCUUACCUGGGCUUGACAUACACCGGAUCGGGCUAGAGAUAGUCUUUCCCUUUGUGGCUGGUGUACAGGUGGUGCAUGGUUGUCGUCAGCUCGUGUCGUGAGAUGUUGGGUUAAGUCCCGCAACGAGCGCAACCCUUGUCUUAUGUUGCCAGCAUUUGGUUGGGGACUCAUGAGAGACUGCCGGGGUCAACUCGGAGGAAGGUGGGGAUGACGUCAAAUCAUCAUGCCCCUUAUGUCCAGGGCUUCACACAUGCUACAAUGGUCGGUACAACGCGCAGCGACACUGUGAGGUGGAGCGAAUCGCUGAAAGCCGGCCUUAGUUCGGAUUGGGGUCUGCAACUCGACCCCAUGAAGUCGGAGUCGCUAGUAAUCACAGAUCAGCAACGCUGCGGUGAAUACGUUCCCGGG
rnacentral:rRNA from 1 species